rnacentral:lncRNA from 1 species
AAAAAUUGAAACUUCAACAAAAAGUAUCAGAAAUUAGGAUUCUUGGCAGAACAUAAAGAAACAACAAGAAGAACGACUUUUGAGUGCAAAAAAUCAAGUAACGAAAAUAUUAAUACCUACCCAUGUCAGAGAAAUUCAUAAGCAUAAACAUAAACAUAAACAUAGAAGACCUAAGAGCUUGCCGACUCUUGAGCAGGGAUUUAAAUAGCGGUCCGUUACCGAAAUAGCGGCCGUUAUAUAGCGGUAACGGCACCGUCCGAAACCGCUACUGCCGAAACCCGCUAUACCCGCAAUACACAAUAAGUAAUGUAAAAUUCACGACCGCGAUACCUGCAAUGACCGCAAUAGCAUCCGUUAUAUCCGCAACCGCGAUAAACGCAAUGCGACCGAAAACGCGACCGCGACCGCAAUUUAAAUCCCUGCUCUUGAGAAAACAAAGGACUCUAAUAGGGUAUUGUACUAUUGGGAGCAAGCUCAUCGUCUACAUGCAAGUGAGGUACUAUAGC